GACAGAGGCCUCAAGCGUUUAGGCGGAAUCACUGGGCUUAAAGCGUGUGUAGGCGGAUCGUUAAGUGUCUUGUGAAAUCCCACGGCUCACCCGUGGAACGGCUGGGCAUACUGGCGAUCUUGGGCCAACUAGGGGCAACUGGAACAAGCGGUGGAGCGGUGAAAUGCGUAGAUAUCGCUUGGGACGCCGACGGUGAAAACAGCUCGCUGGGGGUCACCUGACGCUGGAGACACGGAAAGCCAGGGGAGCGAACGGG
rnacentral:rRNA from 1 species